rnacentral:lncRNA from 1 species
CGUUGCAGUUGUCAGCGAUGAGCUCUGUGGCUCUGGGAACUACACGGUGCGGAUGACCCUGCGCCCUGUGGCAGACACCAGCCUGGGGCUGCAGGGCUCACCCCCCACCCAGGACUCCUUCCUGGCUCUUGUAGCUGUGCAGAGCAGCCCCCAGCCCGUGCUGCAGCUCCGUUCCUGCUGUGUGACACCGUCCAGCAGCCCGCAGGGCCCCGGCGCCAUGUGCUGCUCGCUGCCCAGGCUGCCAGCUGAAUGCAGACACAUCCAGCUACUGCCGAACAGUGAGUCCGGAGCUGCCAGCUUCACCAUCCAGCUGUUCCAGAUGCUAAAUCACUCCGUGGCCUACCUGCACUGUGAGCUCAAUGUCUGUCUGCAGGACCACACAGGCUGUGAGCAGGAUUGCUUUGUUGGUGCAGAGCCACUCCUCCUGCCAGGGGACAGGAACAGGCAUGGGAACCCACACAACCUGGUUUCGUUCGGCCCAGUUCUGAGAGCAACAAACAGCUUAGAGUACAGACCUGCAGAAGGUCCUAAUUCUGCCAUGCUGGUGCCCAUUCUGCUGGGAUCCCUGACUGGCUUUGCUGUCUUGGGCAGUGUUUUCAUCUGCCUUUUGUUGCAUCACAGACAGAAAACCAAAAACCUAAGUUAUCCACAACUUGGAGAAAUCUGUGGCCUAUGAACUACACGUAACUGCCUGGUCCUGCCUAUCCCACUCCACUACUACAGUAAUCAGAAAAGCAAACACUUUUGAAUUGCACACUGUAUUGCUUUUGUAGAUCUGUUGGCCCAGGGAGCAAGAUCUCUCCUUCCUUUCUUUCCUUCUGCACGCAUGAGCCCACAGACUGCAGAGUAGAGGACUGUAGAAGCAGCCCAUCCAAAGGGGAGAAUAGAUCUGCCAUGUAGCUAAAACCUCUAGGUCAGGGUUCAGUGUCUGUCUUGCAGAAGCACUCAUUAUUCCUUGCACUGCAGUAGUGCUGUGGAAAUUAGCACCACGUGCCAUUUGACAUUGCCUUACCCACAGAGGUAGUCCCUGUGCUAAGCUGUUAAUGCCAUUUAUGCCCCAGACAAGUGUCAUUAAAACCUGCUGGAGAGUUAAAGCAUAGAGCAAGUGCAAGUGUGUGCGCAUCAAAGGUGACAUAGCUACAAAGGAGCAGUGCCCCAGCCCCAAAGGUUUGCCCUCUUCCCUGCGACACAUCUGCAAUCGCAGCAGGUUCUGUGCAAAGCUGCAGCUUGAGGGCUGCUCAGUGGUUGUUGGUAACACACAUCCCAACCUCCCAGAGCUGUGACAGGGCACUGGGCUGCCAGGAUGUGUUAUCAGUGCAGCUGUGCUUUUGGAAAGAAAUCACUCUGCAGCUGUGUGUGGCCCUGCAAUAGUGCUGUGUGGUGCUGGGGCAGUGCCUGCACUCACUGCUAUCUGCAGAACUCAGCUGCAUCCUGCAGGGCCGACGCUGUGCAGUGUCGUGGUGCCUCUUACAAAGGUGGGCUUCAGUACCUGCAUGCAUUGUAAAGGUGAAAAGCUGUUAAUAAAGAGUGGGCACAUCCCA